AAAGAUAUCUUCUCUGUAUUGUGUGUUAAAUUAAUGUAACCUAAGCGUCCUAAGUUGAUAUAAUAUAAAAUAAUACUGAUAACAUACAAUAUUGUUAUGUUUAAAGAUAAUUGUUACAAAAAUAUCUCACUUUAUAUUCAAGACAUUCUAAAUGGGCGAACAAUUUUCGAUUUUAAUCUUAUAGACUGUUGAAUGUUGAUUCCUAUAUUAUAAAUCCAUACACAAUGUGUAUGGUGCUAUAGUCACUUACUUACGUAUCUGAAAUUAAAAAAUAAAUUUCAAGUUUUUAAAUAAGAUAGGCAAUUAUAUUCUGAAAUAUGAUCACAUAUUAAAAUGGUUUUUGAUUCAUAAGUAUAUAUAUAUAAUAUUUUAGCAGAAAAGUAUAUUUAACAAGUUUAACAAAUGUUACAAAACGUCAAUGUAAGUAUUCAAUUGCAAUAAAACAAUAUUAUUCAAUGUUUU